rnacentral:lncRNA from 1 species
AGAAAGGAGCUGUCCGGAUAUGGACGGCAGACAACACAUGCUCAAUAGCUGAGGAAAUUAAUGAGGAGGCGUUACUUGUUCUAUGCAUCUUUCAAUUUCAGUGCCUAACACUCGUGUCCUAUGCAAACUUUUUUUUUUUCCUGCGUCAACGCUUUUAUUUCUCCUGUUAUAAAGGGUCUAUAUCUCAAACCCUUUUAUCCCAUAUCCCUAGUUUAAAUUCUCGAUACUAUCUUAAAAGUCAUACUGCCAGACCGUGUAGGUAAACAACUUUUAUUUUUCUCAUUCAAACUUUUAUUUGCAAUAUUUAGGAAGCAAGUUGAUUAUGAUCACAUGUGUGAAAUGUGAUAUCUCACAUUUAAUAGAAGAAAUCUUCAUGAUUUCUUUUUAAUCUUAAAAACGCGUUUUAAAAUUAUGAUGACACAUCAAAUGUAUAAUAGACAAUAUUUACAUAAUUGAAAACGAGAUAUUACAAAUGAUAUUUGAUCUCGAUGUAAAGUUUUAUUUGAUCUCGUGUAAUUAUAUGGAAUAUAAUACGAAUGUUGUAUUAAAAGAAAAAAUUAUUAAAACUACAUAUAUAUUUAUAGAGUUUCUUAAUAUUAUAGAUACGUUUUGAAGUUAUGAAAACCUAUUAAACUCAUAAUGGACAAAAUAUCUUCCAAUAGGGAGCACAUGGUUAUGUGAAACAUAAAUAAUAUAUGUUAAAUUGACUUGGCAUAUGCAUGAAGAAAUUUUCAUUUCUCCACAAUGUGAAGGGGCUACUUACCCGAUGAGAGAUAUAUUACAGGGUUGUAGCUCAAAUCGAAUGGAGUUGACGUAUAUUAGUAAGACAUCAUUGUUCAAAGGUAUAAAUUAUUAGGUAAAAGUGAGCUAUAAAGGGUAACAAGGUAAUUUGGCAAAGGUCUUGACAAUACAUUGGUCGGUUUGGAAAUUACUCCCAUGCUUCGUGCAUAUUAACAAAUUUUCGUCUUAUUACUUUGGUCGAAAUUCCACGCGUUCCCGAGAAUCAAUCUUUAUAUUCUAAAGGUGGAUUUAAUAUUGGUCAAGUUCACGUUCAAAUCUGUCAUGACAAAGCCUGUCUCCGCUGAAAUGGUAAACACGUCCAUUGAUAAGUGCCCAAUAGCACAUGCAAAAAAAUAAGCUAAGAUACCCUAGUGAGAAAAUUAAUGCUGUGUCCCACAUUAGAGUUACACGGGGGGGGGAUGGUUCCGGUAACAUCUGAAAGCUACAUGGGUGGUCCAAUUAUAAGUACAUGCAUGUAUGUAGUGGAGACCAGAUGGGUCGCCUCUCCCCCACCUUGGUGUUUGAUGUGUUGUUUGGUAACUGGGAAAAGUUUUGUUCGAUUUAGGGGUUGUGGUUCACUCAAUCUGAAUAUCUAGUACAACAAGCUGUUGAAGAACGCUUAAAUCACGCGUGGAUCAUGAGAUAGUGGCUUACAGGGCUGCUUGUACUCAGUGAUGAUGUAACGAGUUUGGCUUGGUGUUGAAAAUCUUUAACGUUGGCCCAGUAGUAUCCGAGUAGUGCUUGAAUGAUCUUUUUCUCAAGGCCACUGAGAUUUCUUAGAGAAAAAACGAUAUCCUAUUAUGGUAAAACCCAAGACAAAGAAGCACAGGGGGCCUAUUCAAUGUUGAAAUAUGAGUUGGAGAAAUGAAUAGGAAACCUAACAAACAAUAAUAAGGAUAAUAAGUUCAAAAAAGCUGUCAAUUGCUACAUCAUAUAUUUCCUCUUUUGCUUAAUAAUCUUUAGGCUCCAGCAAGUGAAGAAUUCUCCACUUAAGGUGCCCAGACUGCCUCUUUUCUUUUUUUUUUAAAUGCAUGUCAUGACUGGGAAGGAGAGGGCCAAAAGCCAGAAGCCUCCCCCCUGGUGGUUGGCUGUCUCUAUUAAUAUUCAUUUCCAAUAUUUGAGUACUGUUCAUGAUCAUAACAAGUACAUAUAUAUAUAUAUCAUAUGCCUACACUAUCUUCAUCUGCUUUAUCAAUGUUUGAUAAUUUUUGUGUACAGUACGUAGAAAGAUAUAUGCCUUGCAGGGUUUGUAAACAUUUCAUCUUUUUUUAUUAAGUUUGUUCAUUAGCAGAUGAGAAACAUAUUUGCACUUCAGGAUAUGCCCAAACCAAAUGAUAAUUGAGGCUUCAGCUAAAUGACAUAUCUUCUUAUGAAACGCUUGAGAACCCUAAAAAGAAACUAAUGGUCUUGAAAUGGCAGUUGACAUCUUUUAAGAUUUGGCAGAAACGUUAAUAAGAAAUUUGACUAAGUGGGUUAAGGGAUCUCCUCAAAUCUGCCCUUCACAUGCUGGGUUUAGGUUGAUCACAUACACAAUAAGCUGAAGAGUUGCAGGAGAGAGGAAAUCUUUUAGAAAAAUGGCAAACUAGUUUUAGGAAGAGUGGUCUUUUUAAAGCAGAUUCGAGUUGAAAAAUGAUUCAUAUACGACAGAAGGAGAGUAAUCAAUCUGUGCAUCAAAACUUUCUUGUUGAAGAUCAGACACGAGGGCCCUAAGUAGAUUCACGUGAAAAUGAAUAGAGGAACACAUCACUUAUGACGCCUUUGAAACCUCAUAUUGCAAGGAAAGACAAUGUGUCAAUUAUUAAGUAUUUUACUGAUAGGAGAUGAAGAACUUUACACAGGCACUCUUGAACAACUAAUUUUCCUUCAAGGAAUGGCCACGGAGCAAGAUAAAAUUUGAAUUCAUAUUCAAUAGAUAAAUAAGGGAAAUAUUGCAAAUCAUAGGGAGAGGUCACCCCCAUGACAUUUCCGUCAAACUAAUGUUCAUGUUAAAUAAUUAAUUUUUUUUAAAGUUUAAACUUAUAAGAUUUAGACUCAAUAUGCAUAUUAUGGCCUUUGACAAAUACAUUGUGAAAUGAUUAAUGUAUUCAAUCUGAUAAUUUGUUGGUUGUACGUGAUACGUAGUAUAUAUUGAUAUAACAAUACCUUAAAAACCUUUAUACUAAAAAAUGUAAAUAGCCAUGCAAUCUAAUUUUAGUAUGGUUGAAGAUGUGAGAUUAUUGAAAUCUUUAAGAAUAAAUUAGACUAAUUACAAUAGUCAAGGAAAUAUGUGAAUCUUAAUUAUAUUUAGGUUUCGGUCAAUUUGGGUUUAGAAAGUUUACAGUUACUAUUGAGUAUUCAACUAUAAUCAAUGAGAGUUAGAAAGCAAAUGUACCAUAAGGGAAUCAUUUAAAAUGAAAUGACCAAAGCAUUACGUUAUUGUCCUCUUUUCUUGGCAUGGCAUGUGCUAAGAGCUCACGCUUUGGCUUCAUCCUUAUCCACAAGACGCAUGAUUACCUGCAGAAACACAUAUCAUUGUUCAUGGUCAAAGGGAAUCAUAUGUUUUUGAAACAAAUUCAAAGGUCUUAGUAUGGUUGCCAUUUAAAAUUUCAGCACAAGAUACAUGUAUCUUUGAAUUCAUCAUCACAUUCUUUCUUAGACUCCAAAAAAAUUUGAUGGUAUUUCAUUUUUUGGAGUGCCGACCAAGAUUGACUGGACCAUAACCCAUAAAAAAUUUCACUUCUUACUUGUUGAAACAACCCUUCUUCACUCUAUUUGAUUUAGAGUCCUAGACCUUGCUUUGUUGGAGACCAGAAAUCAGUGCUAGCUAGCACCCAUACCCCAUGCAUGCAAAGUUCAAUGUUCCUAGGCAACAAUCUAUACAUAAACCCAGGUGUUUGGUGCUGGCCAUCAAGCUGGCCUCUGAUUUCAUAAAACAUAUCAUUAGUCCCUAGACUUCUCUAACGUAAACCCAGGUGUUUGGUGCUGGCCAUCAAGCUGGCCUCUGAUAUCAUAAAACAUAUCAUUAGUCCCUAGACUUCUCUAACGUAAACCCAGGUGUUUGGUGCUGGCCAUAAAGCUGGCCUCUGAUUUUAUAAAACAUUUCAUUAGUCCCUAGACUUCUCUAACGUAAACUAUGAAAUUUUUUAGCAUUUCAUUUCUUUGUUUAGUUGACUAGGAUUUAGAUGUAAGCAUGUGAUAUAAUAUGAAUUGCAGAUACAAUCGAGUCUUAGUGCAGUAAUGCCAUCUGCAAAUGUAGCUUGAAAUAUGGACAUGCCUUGCUGUGAGUGAGCAUAGAGAGGGAAUUAUGUCACAAUACAUCCACGCAAAACCGUGGAUUAUGUGGCCUCAAGUCUUGCUAGGUAGGGCACUCUACUAAGAACUUGUCUCAGCCUUCAGAAGCAGUUUGUGUUUAAUAUUCGACGCACUAAUUACAGCAGCAUGAUCAGAGGCUAUGUUGCUUGAAUUUAAUUAAUAUCCACCAAGCUAUGGUGCUGCCCCUCUGCUUAAUUAAAAAGGUAGGGCUUGUUCAGAUAACGGGUCGCGCUCAGAGCUCGCUGGCAUUGAUCCUACUAACUAAUAUUCAAAAAAUAUGAUAAGUGUAUAUGUGUGUGUCGUUUUUUUGGGGGGGUUGUCAAGGGAUAUGAAUGCCUCCUCCCAAACCUCACAUGGCUCUUAUGGGAGGGCUCAUAGGCUUACUGAUUCCUGGGUAAUUGCAUUUAUUUGUAGCUAGCUAGAGAAUGCUGUCUAGGCAUAUAAACACAUGGCUGUCAUAAAAGGACCUCGUAGGCUUGUAAAAUCCCAUACUAGCGCCGUUGGUAGGACAAUCAAAAGGGAUUCCAUUCAAGAAAUGUCACUGCAAUUCCAACUUGACUUGUUUCAUUAACGCCCACAACAAAUUUUAAACCUCCAACUUACGUGGAAAAAACUUAAGGUAUUGAUCCAAACUCUCCAAUUUUGCAAAGAAAUGUAAAAAUUUUAGACCGAUGAAGGUAUAAAUAAUAAAGAUAUUAAUACAAUACAAUAUAAUUUCGGGUGAAGUGCCGAAUAAAAUGUACUCCUUUGAGAGUUGAUCUAGGGUGACAGGUCACAAUCUGACCUAUACCUAUAAAAUUUUGCCUAGAUGAUGCCUGAUGGGCACCCAAAAGGCAUUUCAUCAGUGUAAAGAAUCCAAUGAGUUGAUGCUGCCUGCCUGCCUAUGAGUCUGUUGAGCUCAUAGUUUCUGUUGAUGUCGCUCUAAGUAAACGAACUUUGGGUCUAGGCAUUGGGCUUUGCCGCUUUGGAGCUAGGCUUUGAAGAUGUUUGCGGCUAAUGGCCUGCACGAUCUUCAUAAAAAGUGUUUCUUUCUUUCUUUAUUUCUUUCUUUUUCACCAACAUAUAUUUUUAUCCGAUUUGAAUUAUGUGAUGGGAUUAUCGAAUUUUAGCUAUUUAAUGAUUGAAAAUUAGAAAUAUCAUAUUUUUGAAUAAAUAUCACGAUUUGGAAAGAGUAAAAAAGCACCCAUUUUUGGGGAUAAGCAAAAUAACAAAAAUAAUAAUACAUGUUAAGUUUUAGGAUAUGUUUGGUUUUAAAAAAGUUUAAGACUAUGUUUGGUUCGGAUAAAGUUUGAGGGAAAACAAAUGAAAGAAAAUGGAGAAAAAAAAAAAAGUAGAAUGAAAGAAAAAGUAAAAAUAAAAAAUAAAUUUAAAAUAAAUAAAUUAUUUUCAUUUUCUACUUUUAACUUAUUUUAUUUAUUUAACUGUUUUAUAUAAAGAUUAAGUAAUUUAAAAAUAUCUUAGUUUCCCACUAAUUUUAAUUACAUUCAACUUUCUUUGGUAUUUUCCAUUAAUAAAUUAAAUAUGAAAAAAUAAUUUUUCUUAGUAAUUUUUUUUCACUUUUAAUUAUUUCUAGGAAUCAAAUAUAACCAAAGAGAAUACGUAAGAGAAAGAAAAAAAACAGCUAAUGAAAAUAAAAAAUAGUUUUAAAAUCAAUAAAACUAACUUUUAACUCUUUCUUACCAGGAUUAAAUAAUUUAAAAACGUGUAAGUUUUUUUUAUUAAUUUUAAUUAUAUUUGACUUUCGAAGGAGAAUGGAUGUUUGAUGGUUAAUUAACUUGCAAUUUGAACCAAAGCUCAAAAUAAAACAUAAUCUCCUCACGGGCCCAAGAAUAAUAACAUGGUACUAUUUUACCUAUUUUAUAAAUUCAUCUAUGUUGCAUGUUGCUUAACAUUAUGCAAUUUUUAAAUUUUUAUUAUUAUUUCUAUUUUAUAAACUCAUCCAUCACUCAUUUUCUUAUUAUUUUUAAUUUUUUUGUCUUUUAUAAAAAAAAAAAACGUAUAAAAUUUUUAUUUUUUACAUAAACAUUAGAAUUAUAUAUUUUUUUUUAUGAAAAAUGAAUAACUAACAUUUGAAAAAUUUUAACAAUGAAUAAUAACAUUUAAAAAUAUUCACACAAAUUUUUAUCUACUACACAAUAUAUAUUUAAUUAUAAGGAAUAAAUAUAAAAUAAAUGGAUAAUAAUUAUUUCCCUAAAUAAUAUAAUGAUAAAUUUUGUAUAUAAUAAAAAAUGCAUUUUUUGUUUGUUAAAAGUUGAUGAUAUUCUACUAUAAAUUAUAAAAGGUAGUAGAUAUUAAUAUUUAAUAAAUCUAUAACUUGUAUUUAUUUGUUAAAAAUAAAUAAUAUUUUGAUAAAUGAUAAGUAAUAAUAGUAUAAUAUUUUAUUUAAAAUAAUUAGAAAAAUAAAUACAAUUUAUUUUUUAAAUAUAUAAAUAAAUCAAAUUUCAUCAUUACAUGUAUGCAUUUACUUUCAAUUACAAUCACAAUAUUUUAGACCAAUUUGGUCUAACUUCUCAUAAUAAUUUAUAUAAUUUUCUAGUUUUAAAUCAUUUUUAAAACCAAUUAGAAUAUUUAAUGAAUCAAAUGCUUUAAGUGUCAUAUGAUGUGAGUGCCUAGUUUAAAAUUUCAAAAUAAAAAAUAUUGUUAUAUAUAAAGGAAAAAUUAACACAAUCAUUUGGACUAGUUUUGGUAGAAGAAAAUUUUAUAUUAGUUAGUCUAAUUUUUAAGUUCUAAAUUAUUUCUAUAGCUAGUUAAGCUCAUUAAGGAAUUCAAUGUAUCAAGUCUCGUUUGAUUUAUAACCCAUUUGUUUAAUAAGAAAAUUUAAGUAAUGAACUCAUUGAGUGAGGUACAAGUUUUUGCUCAAAACCCGAAUUUAAUUUAAUUCAAGUUUUAUUAAAAAUAAAAAUAAUUUUGUAAUAACAAAUAAAUAAAAAAAAUAAAACAGUUUUUAAUAUAAUACGCAUAAUAAUAUUACAAUAAAAUCAUAAAUUAUUAUUUUUAUAAAUAUUAUAAAAAUAUAUAUAUUCGCAUCUAUUAGCCCAAAGGUUCUCCUAAUUAUGUUUUAAUGAUAACAAAUCAUGAUUAAAUUGUUAAUUGGUUUGAAUUAUAACAAAUUUCAAGUUUUAGUUUAGAAACUCAAAAGGACAUUUGGGAAAUUUAUCAAGGGACUAAAUAGAUACAAGAUAAAAAUAAAUGGAAGACUUUUUAAUAAUAAGAAACAUACGUAAGAUGAAUGCAUAAAUGCACUUAGGAUUUUCAUAUCUUUUCAUCCAUUUUUAAAAACUCGAUUUAUGCAUUAAAGUUAUAUUUCCAUUAAACCCAAGUUUUAUCAAAUGAAUCUUAGGCAAAUCAUUUCAAAAUUGGCAUACUCAUUGACCUAAAGAUCUUACCUAAGUGUUAGAAGUGAAAAGAAUGGAAAAAUAUAGGUUUUUGGGCAAAAAAUGGUGAAUUGAUCGAGGGACUGACCAGUCAACUUAACCAGUUAAGGUACCAAUCGACUGGUUAUGCCUUCCAAGUCGAGAGAUGUAAAAAUAUUCUCUUUCUUCCGAUAGUCUUUCAUUCUCGCUUGAUGGUUAUGUAUUUUCGGUCGAGGCCUAGUCAAAUCUUAGUCGAGUCUUAAUCGAGGCCUAACAGUCACUUGUCAUGCAUUUAUUGUCCAACCGCUAGUCAAUCGGUUGACCCCUAACUCAAUCGGUCGAAACUAUUUUUUGGCAUUUUGGCUCCCGAGACUAGAAAUUUAUAAAUUGAGAACUCUACUUCAUUUAUAAAUAUUAAAACACCUGCAUUUAUUUGUUUAUCUACAUGUUCUUAACUCAAAAGUUCUCAUUCUUUCCUUGGUGCAUUAAAUCUCCACUUACAUAUUCCUUAGUAAACCCUUAUGAUUCUUCCUAACCUUUGAGUUGCAUUUAAGUCAUUGUUGAGGUAGGUUGAUAAACUUAAAUCUAGAUUUGAGUGUUCUUGUGAGAGUUAGAAGUUUCAAGUGAGUAAAGACUUGAAAGAAUGGUGUUAAGUGCCCAUUGGAGCCGAAAUUCAAGUGUAAAGAUGUUAAAAGUUUGGUUAAAACUUCAAGUAUAGUGGAACUCUCACUUGGUUAAGAACUUGAGGAGAGUGGACAUAGGCAAGAGGUGUCAAACCACUAUAAAAUAUGAGUUUAUUAUCUCUAUCUUUAUAUUUGUCCUUCUUUUGCUUGAAUUUAUUGUGUUUGAAAAAAAAAAUUUAAACCUAAUUCACCCCACCUCUUAGGUGUUUUUCCUAUUAAGAUUAGCCUUAAUUUUCUCAGCAUCCUCAUAAGCAUAAUUGAUUUAUUUUUAAAAAUAAUAAUUGCUAAUACUAUUUUAUUUUAAAAAUAAAUAGAUUUUAAUUUUUUAAAGGUGUCAAUAAGCCAAAAUUUUCAUGAUAUGCAUAUAUAUUCUAAAAUUUUGUAUUUAAUUUACAAUUAAUUAAUUAAUUUUUUAAUUCUAAAUUAUUCUUAAAAAAAUAGAAGAGACAUUAAAGAAUUUAAAGCAUUUAUUAUGACAUACUUAAUUCAGAAUCUAAUUACCUAGUGAUAAAACUUAGAAAAUGUAGUUAUGUGUAUAUGGAAAAUAGUAAAUUAUGAUUCAUAAUAUAUUAAUUUUGGUUUAUUAUUUUUUUUAGUAAUUAUAUAUAUUUUUGAGUUUUAAAUUAUUUUCAAAAAAAACAUUAAACUUAUUAAUAAAUUUAAUACAAAUUCUAGCUUAAUUUGAAACAUAUUUUUCUAAUGAGAAAAACAAAAAAUUUCUGGAUUUGAAAUACAUUUCUCUAAUGAAAAAAACAAAAAAAGUUCUUUAUUUUUAUUUUUAUAAAUUGUUUUUAGAGAAUAACAACCAAACAAUGUUAUAAAUUUUUUAAAAUAUUUUUUUUAAAAUAAAAAAUUAUUUUACAUAUAAUGUGAAAAAAAAAAUUAAGUGAAAAAAAAAAUCAUUUUAAAUUAUAUAUAUGAAUAUUAUUAUCAAUUUAUUUAUUUAUUUCUUUUGUUACCUAACAACAAAUAUUCAUUUUCCUAAAUAUAUCCAAACACAAGACCUAAAUUAACCAUAUUGAUUGAUAUUAAAGAAGAAAUGGGAAUGGAAACAAAAUUUUUAUUUUCAUAUUUUUUUCUCAUGUAUCAAACAUUGCUCGAGUGUCUUUGGCUUUGAGAUAUUGAUGUUAGAGCUGAAAUCCCUUCAACUAAAUCGUUUUGCAGUGAAGCCCUUUUGGCAUGUAAUAGAUAUGAACCACCAAAUUGGGUUCCAUAACUUCCAUUGGCUUAGGAGGUUUUCCUGGACGAAAAGAUUUCCAUAGCCACUUGUUGAUUUAAAUAAUAUAGGUAAGAGUAAGACAAACGGCCAACAGGGGAUGUAGCUCAGAUGGUAGAGCGCUCGCUUAGCAUGCGAGAGGUACGGGGAUCGAUACCCCGCAUCUCCAUUGUUGUUUUUAUUUUGCUUCUGCGGUUCUUUACGACCCACCAAUACUGAUCAUUCUUCAUAACCACAUCUUCAGAGAACUGGGCCCAUUUUCAAGAUGGGUGGGUGAAUUGGUUUUAAUGCCCUUAGGGCUCAUAGGCUGGGACACACCAAUCAUACAAUCAGUUGUAUUCCCAUGGUUAGAACGGUAGCUGGGUCUAGGCAUAUGCCAGAGCAAAUGGGCAAAGAACUACUCAUCAAUCAACUUGCUGGCUUCUUCUGCUGCCACAUCUAAGUUGGACCAGUAUAUGGUGUAAAAUGUCUUUUAUUUUGUUUUAGUAUCAUUCUACUUACCUUCUUUCCCUCGUUUUCAAGCUUAAUCCUGUGUAAAAUGUACUAUCAUGAUGGUAUUGGGGUGAGCAUUUGGGAACUGAAUUGAAGCAAAAUCAUCAGGAGAUGGCGAAAAAUGAAAUUGAAUUUCUUGGUAAGAGAUUAUAUUAAUUAUGGAAGGAAUUAGGCAGCUUGGACAAUAAGACUGCAAGGGGAGUUCAGAAUAAUAUUUAGUAUAAUACAAAAGGAAUUUCCAUCAUUCCUGUAGUUGUUAUGUGGGAAGAUCUACAUUCAAUAAUUCUUUCGAAAGUACAAUAACUCAUGCGCCUAAGAUGUCAUCUUUAUUUGAUGGAUGAGAGGAUAUGAAAAUUCUAACAUGAAAAGAGGAAUCCAGAAUGAGAUGAAGCAGUUGGGGUAUUACAGGCUGAGAUUUAAGUCAAGCUUAUGUUGAUCAGAUGCUUGACUGGGCAGUUUGUCCACAUGAAAGCUUCCUGGCCAGAUUGAGUCCAUUGCUUCUUCCAUCACAAAGGGUGUCCAAGCCAUCCUGAAUCCUGUGUUGGGAUCAUUAAAUCUUGCUGCCACUUCAGUCCCUUCUCGGCCUGGCUUGUGCGCAAGAGAGUGAGGCUGGGCACCCAGUGAUCGGAUUGUUAAAGAGUUAAGGGGAAACCCCAUGGUUGCCAUCAUCAUCCUGUGAGAUUGGUACCUUUUAGCUGCUCCCCUUUCUCUUUUGUGUGCAUUCUGAUGACCCCCUAGAGCUUGUGAACUGAAGAACUUCCUCAUGCAGAAAUUGCAUGAGAAAAUUUUGUUACCAGCUGGUUUUGAUUGAGGAUCGCCAUCUCCAGUUGUGAAGGCCUCAUUUCUGCUGAGGCUUAAACUCAACCACUCUCCUAAAUUAUCAUCUCCAGAUGUUUUUUCAUCAUCGGAUCUUGUCUUUGAUUCAGCAUCUUGGUUGUUGCUUGAUACCUCAUUUGCCUCUUCCUCCCUCUGGCUGAUCGUCAUUGCACUAGCUACCACUCCCAAGCUAUACGGUUUAUGGGCAGUUGGAGACUUGGGGUAGAGCUUAAAGAAAUGGUGUUGUAGGGAGAAAUUAGGGAGGGAUUUUAAUGGACGGGAAGGGAGGUAUCUUAAGGGAACGGCAGCGACAGUGGAUAUUAUUAAAUUUAUCCCAUAAUGUUCCCACCUAGUGAUGCUUGGUUUUUUAAGAGGCAAUGCUUAUGUCACAUUUUACUGUUGGCAUCUCCAAGCUUCGGAUUCCCUGGUCUUUUUUAUUCUCUUCCUUGCCUCUAAAUGACAUCAUCAACUGCAUGAUUCUUUCCUGGAGAGGAUUUAUAUAACAGAAAAUUAACUAUAUACGCACACUGCCAUUAAUACUCGAAUUCUGAUCUCCAAUCUGCUUCCCAAAAUGUUACCAUCAGAAACCCAAUAAACCCAUCGGAAAUCCCAUAUAAAACACAAUGAUACAGUUUCCACGCGAAGUCAGAAGAUAGGUAGAUGUUGCUUAAUAACACUAGAGAAAUAUGGUCCCAAUCACCCAAGAGCUAGACCUUUUUCACCUCAUGCUUCACUUUUGACCCUUCUUCUGCUUCAAUUCAGACCCUGCAAUGUUAUGGACCACCACUUUUAUGUGUCAUAGGUCAUUUUAUUGGAAUUAGCGGAGUUGGGUUGUUUGAUGGAGAGCCAGAAGUCACAUGUGCACCCCAACAUACAAACAGAUUGGUUAACUGCAGGGAAGUUGGAUGCAUUAGAGGCCAAUAAGGAACAGUAGAAUGUUGUCUUUUAUAGUGAAUCACGUUUGAGAUGCUAUUCAGUAAGAUUAAUGGAGAUGUGGGGCUUUUGGACAGUGUGGUGGUGAGCACAAUACCAUAACUCACUUUCCUGUACCUUCGCCUUCUUGGUUCUUACUAGUGAAGUUGCUAUGUCGGGAUAGGGAAAUAUAUAAUAAAUAUAGGCAACGACCAGAAACGGCAUAUUUACUGUAUACAAAAGAAAGUAUUUAUGUGAGAAGGGGUGAUGAAUGACAAGCUUCAUUGCAGAUAUUGGAGUGAGUGGAGAUGCUAUUUUUAUUUAUUAUACAUUGGAUGCAAUACUAUAUUUGUUCAGGGGUGGUUGCUGGGCCAUGGUAAUUGCCAAUAAUGUCGGUAAACACUAGGCAGAGAGGUGAGGUGUCUUUAUAUUUCAUAUGGGAGGUUAUCUUUCUAAGCAGGGAGAAUCAAUACAGGUGUCUUCCUGUAGUGGGCUUUGUAUAUGUACAGUAGCGGAAGUGCAUUGAGAACCACUUGUACUUAUUCUCAGAAUCUUGUUCUAAAACUUAAGAAGACAAUAGCCCGGUUUCCCCAUAAAGAUGGAUGUUUGUUGCUCUUUCUUUGUCUCUGUCCCUGUCUCUCUCUCUAUCCACAUAAUGGUGUGGACGAAAGUAGCUUUGUUGCUGAAGCUUCUUUGUGAUAAAAUAAUUGUGAUGUUGGACUGAUGAGUCAGUCCUGGAACACUGGACUUGUCUAAAUCAAUUGGAGUUUUCUUGUACCAGCCAAACUUGUAGCAUUGUUAGUGAAAAGUCUGUUACGGUGAGUAAUUCAGAAUUUUGCCUCUUGGCUUAGCUUUUAAUAUGACAAAAUUGUGGUGCAAACUCAUGAGGUGAAGAGUCCAAUAUAUUCAUCUCAAUUUCACUUUGUUGUUCCAAAGCUUGGCUUGGAAAUAGUAUCCUGAAGUAGCAUUAAAGGUCUGAAAAGGGUAUUAUUGCAAGAAUCUCCCAAGUAAAACUAGAUUUAUUUGGCUUAUGAUAUAUUCUCUUUGUGCAUCCAUUUUGGCUGAUUCUCAUUUGAGAAUAUAACAGUGCUUUGCUUAUCACUUCAUAUCCGGAAAAUGACCCAAUACCAUUCUUCUCAUCCUUGUUCCCUUGGAUCUGGUUCCCACCUUGAGAUAGAAGCAUAUAGAUAUAAGAGGUCUCUCUCCAUGUUUCUCCUUUGUUUUUUUUUUUCUUCUUUUUCUUUUCUUUUAUUUUCUUAUUGCCCUUCUCACCCAUCACUUAAUCACUGGCAUUGUUGUUGGAGGAUUAUCCUAAAAAAAUUUGGUGAAAAAUCUUAGGUCUCUAAGCCCUUUUGAGGGUCCUCAACUGGUUUUCUUUUGGGAGACAAAAAUGUUCAUCUACUCUCUUUUCCAAACUAACCAACCCAGUUACUAUAAUAGAGAGCAUACAGAAUAUCGGCAGGUGGCAAAAAUCUUACCAAAUCUGCCUAAGAUGAACUGGGAUACCUUGCCCUUUUCAUAAUGUCAAGUUUGAAUGAUCUUACAUUGAACUCAAUGCAAAUCCCUUGUAAUUAGUAUUUGGCUCCAGGACACACAAUUUUAAGCUGGUCGUAUCUGUAAAAACAUGUUAUGAGAUUAAAAAAAAAAAAAAAAUUCUUUGGCAGGUUAGCAGUUAGUCUCGGGUUAAACAGUUCUGAAUUACAACAGCCUUAUCAACAACAUUAUUUUUAAACUAGUGGUCGUAGACGUUCACUGCAACAAAGCUUCCCACUGGAGUGUCCAAAGUCCUAGUGGAUGGGCCAAAAACAAACAGAAACUGCUUUGCUUCCCACUACCCUGACUUCUUGAAUUAUCAGCAUAUCUUCCAUGGAAAGCCCAUAUUGUGUUGCAGCACGUGAGAAAAAUGGAAGACAAGAAACCACCGGCACCAGUGCCAUUGGAUAAGGUGUCUGACACAGUCCUAACACUAACAUGUGCCUAAGGACCAAGAACAUAGCACUUCACUGUUAUGUGACAACUCCAUUUUUCAUGCUUCCACAAGAAUUGUUAUGCUGCAUUGUAGACUACUUCUAGAUUGAAAGCAGCUGUAGAGAAGUUCAAAAAAAGAACGUAGUUGGGGAGAAACAGCCAAAAUAAGUAAUACAAAAAAAUCUCAUUUAGAUAAUAAACUAAGAGUUUGUUUGGUAUUGAUUUUAGGAAACAUUUCUAAUAAUUCUAACGCUUCAAAAUUUUUAUGAUUCAAGUAUUAGAAAAACUAAAAAUAUUUCCUAUAAUCAUGGUCAAACACAGUCUAAUUCAUAUCAUAAUCUACCUUAAAAAAUGAUCGAUUUUGUUAACCUUUUGUCUCACGAAUAAAUUUAUGUUAUUGCCUUUUUAAGAAUAAAAAUGACAAAGCAUGAAAUAUUUCUAAUUCUUAAUAGAAAAGUAUAGAACAUUUGAUUUUAUUUAUGAUAAAAUACAAUAAAUCUUUCUUCCUGCCAAAAAAAUUUAAAGCAUUCAUAUAUUGUAAAACAAUUGCUAUGAAUAAAUAUAUGCACCAUCUAAUGUUCCUGUCUAAGGGUCAUCGCUAGUGGCGCCAAAGAUUUGAAAAACCGGUAGUUCAACCAUGUCCUCAACCACCCUCUUCACCAUUCCACCAUCACCCGCGACCGGUUCUCCUCCCACUACCUCCACCACUCAUCAUUUUAUUUCUACAAACAGACUCGCAGUAUUGAUAGACAAAUCCAAGACCAUCAGCCACCUUCUCCAAAUCCACGCAGUUCUUUUCCGCCACGGUCUCGACCACCACCCCAUCUUGAAUUUCAAGCUCCAGCGUUCCUAUGCUUCUCUCGGCCGCCUCGACUACUCCGUUGCUCUCUUCGGCCGUACCCAAAACCCCAGUGUCUUCUUCUGGACCGCCAUUAUUCAUGGCCACGCGCUGCGUGGUCUCCAUGAGCAAGCGCUUAAUUUCUAUGCUCAGAUGCUAACCCAAGGCGUUGAACCCAAUGCCUUCACCUUUUCCUCUAUCCUGAAAUUAUGCCCGAUCGAGCCCGGAAAAGCGUUGCAUUCCCAAGCGGUCAAGUUGGGGUUCGAUUCGGAUUUGUAUGUGAGAACUGGUCUGUUGGAUGUUUACGCGAGAGGCGGGGAUGUGGUGUCCGCACAACAACUGUUUGACACUAUGCCUGAAAAGAGUUUGGUUUCUUUGACUGCUAUGCUUACUUGCUAUGCAAAGCAUGGUGAGCUUGAUGCGGCACGGGUACUAUUUGAUGGAAUGGAGGAGAGGGAUGGCGUGUGUUGGAAUGUGAUGAUCGAUGGUUAUACUCAAAAUGGGAUGCCAAAUGAGGCAUUGGUGCUAUUCAGACGAAUGUUGAAGGCAAAAGCGAAGCCUAAUGAAGUGACAGUGCUGUCUGUGCUCUCUGCAUGUGGGCAGCUUGGGGCACUGGAAUCUGGCAGAUGGGUCCAUUCUUACAUUGAGAACAAUGGUAUUCAGUUCAAUGUUCAUGUCGGGACGGCUUUGGUUGAUAUGUACAGUAAAUGUGGUAGUCUGGAAGAUGCUCGCUUGGUUUUUGAUAAGAUUGAUGACAAAGAUGUUGUUGCUUGGAAUUCAAUGAUUGUGGGAUACGCAAUGCACGGAUUCAGCCAAGAAGCUUUGCAGCUUUUCAAAUCAAUGUGUAGGAUGGGUUUGCACCCUACUAAUAUAACUUUCAUUGGCAUUUUGAGUGCCUGUGGUCAUUCAGGAUGGGUAACAGAGGGAUGGGACAUUUUUAACAAAAUGAAAGAUGAAUAUGGGAUUGAACCAAAGAUUGAACAUUAUGGAUGUAUGGUAAAUCUACUCGGCCGUGCUGGGCAUGUGGAACAGGCAUAUGAGCUUGUCAAGAACAUGAACAUUGAGCCAGAUCCUGUCUUAUGGGGAACUUUGCUUGGGGCCUGCAGGCUCCAUGGUAAAAUUGCUUUGGGAGAGAAAAUUGUAGAGUUACUAGUUGACCAGAAUCUUGCUAAUUCUGGAACUUACAUACUUCUUUCUAACAUUUAUGCUGCAGUUGGAAACUGGGAUGGGGUUGCAAGGUUGAGGACCAUGAUGAAAGACAGUGGGGUAAAGAAGGAGCCAGGCUGUAGCUCCAUUGAAGUGAAUAAUAAGGUACAUGAGUUCCUUGCUGGAGGGCUGAAUCACCCAAAGAGAAAAGAAAUCUACAUGAUGUUGGAGGAGAUAAAUGGGUGGCUCAAGUCUCAUGGGUACACCCCUCAGACUGAUAUUGUAUUGCAUGACAUUGGAGAGACAGAAAAAGAGAGAUCCCUUGAAGUUCAUAGUGAGAAGCUUGCUAUUGCUUUUGGGCUCAUCAAUACUCAACCAGGAACCACGAUCAAGAUAGUAAAGAACCUCCGAGUCUGUGCUGAUUGUCAUGAAGUGACCAAGUUGAUCUCAAAGAUCACAGGGCGUAAGAUUGUUGUGAGGGACCGAAACCGGUUCCACCACUUUGUGAACGGCUCAUGUUCUUGCGGGGACUAUUGGUGAACUUGAUUCCAUUUGAUAUGAGUUGUAAGAAACAGCUCCUGUUCAGAAGAAUGCCUCCACCGGCAUUGUUAGGCAUUCUUCAACUGCUAGAGAUUUUAAUUCAUUGUAGUUUUCAUGUGUGCCACAACAUUUCCUGAAAUUCAAACCUAGUUAACUAUGCUAUCAGAAAUUCACAAUCAAGAAAGUCAAUGUAUCAAGCAUCUGAAUCCUGGUGGACCGAAAGGGGUACGCCUACGCCUGGUAAUGCGAGCACCAACUCCAAACCCUGACUCAUCUCAGAAGAACGGCUAUAGGUCCCAAAUUUCCUCCUACCAGUAUCAUAACUCCCUGAAACUAGGGGAUGCGCCCGAGUAGUCCACAUGUUCAUAGUAGUUCAUAUUAUAUGGUUUGGGGCCAUCCGCCUAGUAAAAACUAGUGAUUUACACACAGCUACGCACAGAAUUAACUGGGUCACCAACCAUUUGAUCGCUUGAAAGACAGAUAGGCACUUUUGAAAGCAACAGUCUUUAUAGACUUGAAUUUUCACUAGAUAACCAUCAGGAGAAUCUGCAACUGCAAAAGCUUGAUGCAACAGUAAAAGAUGCAAGUUGAGGAAAAAUCAAAUACAAUAUUGUAUUGAAGGUCCAGUCCCUAAUCAAUUGUAUAGGCUUGUUUUGCAGGUGAAGCCGGUCGCCCAACACACUAAAACUAAAGCAAGCGUCUUAACAUUUUCUCGACACAACCCUUCAACAAGAGAAUCAAGCAUACAUUUGCAAAGAAAAAAAUUAAUAUAUCCAAAAUAUCUUUCAAAUACGAAGUCUUGAAUCAUGUUUCUCAUUAAAGUAAAUCUGUACAAAUUAGUACCAAUGUAUCUCAUUCAAAGCGAUUAACAACUAUCAACUAACGAAGUCAAACAACAUAAAGUUAAAUUCGGUUACACCUUCAUCUACUGUAAAAAUGAAAAUCCUACCCAACCAAACACCAACCCCCUCCCCCCAUUUCCCCCAACUCAUUUUUCCUUUGGCUGGAACUCUAGGACCGACAAACUGGCUUACCUUUCCAGCAAGUACCGAAAGAGUAACCCUGUAUUUCAACAUAAUCAGGAGUAUUCUCAAGUCCCUACAUUCUAAAAUCCAAAACACAUACUGUAUUGUUGGCGAAGCAGGCAGCAAUCUUGUCACCUUCCUUAUUCCAACAGACUUCAAAUAUGCCACCGUUGCCAGUGUAUGUCUUCACAAUCUUUCUUUCUUUCAAUGACCAGAUGUGCAUGGAUCUAUCUAGAGAUCCACUAGCCAAGUAUUCACCAUUUGGGCUAAAUGCAACAGAGUAUACUGGAUCCCUGGUGAAUCAAUUAAAAAGCACAGUAAAUAAUGAUUACAAGUAUGAAACAAUCAAGAAACUCAGAAGUAGGAUUAGCUUAAGGGCACCAAGAUACUGCAAUGACCCAAAACCACCCAAACAUUUUACCCCAGAACUUGCCAGAUACUGAAAAGAGUUGAGGUGAAGAAAGAAACUUCAUAGAAUACACAGAUAAUUUACCAAAAAUGGAAAAAACAACCAAGGUUAUGAUCAUCAUAUAUGAUCAACUUUCAUUAGAGUAGUUCCAGGUCAUAGCUUGUACCACCACAUAAAUGCUAAUAGCUAAACUACUAAUUAUUACUGGUAUACUAAUAUGGUACUUUAUGUUUACCAUGAGUUCCUACAAAAUAAAAAUGUCACGAAAACUAUAUAACUCUAUUACCUGUGGCCAUUCAAGCUGCAAAGAAGUUUCCCUUGUUCCACAUCCCAUAGCUUCACUGUUGAAUCGAAUGAUGCACUGCACACAACCAGAUAAUAUUUUUGUUAUAUGGCAGCAUAUACAAGUAAUGAGUGCAAUAUCAAUUCCUAUAUAUAUAUAUAUAUGUGUGUGUGUGCGUGUGCGUGUGUGUGUUUUGAAUUCUUAAUGUUUAAUUGAAAACCAUCUCCAUCAAGGGAUUCGCACAUAACAAGGCAAAAAAGUAAUAUAAUAGGUGUAAUUACAUAAGUAUAGAGCGAAAUCUAUGGACUAAAUAAAUACUAAAAUAUUUCAAAAGACGAAUAAUUAUGCUAUGCAAACCUUAGUAGACGCCAAAACUAGGACAAGGCAGCCAAACAUAAAAUAUUUAUUUCACCAGUGGACAUUAAAUGCACCCUUUAUUCAUCAAUUUUACAAUAUUAAAUUACAACUUCUGUUGACAAUUUACUAAAAUGAAACUUCAAUUUCCUAAAAGACUUUCCAUCAGUUUUAAAAUGUUAAUUCACAACUGUCACUGACAAUUCAAGUUAAGGACACUGGAGAUUCAGUUCAAAUAUUGAAUCAAUGGCUUAUUUAUCAGGUUUGAUGAAAUGCUCCAAGUAGCUAAAGCUUCCAUAGUUCCAUUCAUAACUUUGACUGAAAUUUAUUUGUUAUAUAGAAUAAAUAGAGAACUUUAUGGUUCCCCUUUGAUGAAAAAUAGUGGUCCUAGAAGUCACUCUAUACGGUAUGUAUACAUAGUACAUGCAGUUUGUACAAAUAAAUGUAGAUAAAUGACAACUGAAUUUAUAAAACAAACAAUUGUUUUACCUUGCCAGCACCAACGGCUGGUUAGGAUUGUUUGUACCUUGACCAGUGGGACUCCAUCUGAUAGUAUAUAUCUCCUGCAGAACAGUUCAUUAAUGUUUGCAAAAGCAUACUAAAAAAAUUAACAGAUUAAGAUAAAGAGGAAUCAAGAGGCUCCUCCUACCUUAGCAUGUUCCCUUAAAUCAUGAAGAUACUUCUCCUGCUUUAUGCUCCAGAUCUGCAUCAUGAUUUUAUGGAUCAGAUGCCAAUCAGUAAAUCUCAUCACUAACAAGCAAAGCAAGGAAAACCAAAAGAGAUAAAUCUGACUGCCUAGCUAAGAUGACAUCCAUGAUACAAAUGGCACAUUCCUUUUCAAGAAAGAAACCAAGACCAAAACAGGAAUGGACAUACAUGUCGAUUAUCAGCACCUUAAGAAGAAAAUUAUUCAAUAACUAAAUAAAAAUUUAUCAUCAAUAACCUUUGCAGUGAUAUCGUCAGAGCAAGAGGCCAACAAUUGUCCUGUUGGAUCCCAUUUGACACAAUUCACUUCACCCUGAAAUUGCACAUAGUUCAAAGAUUACUUAUAAAAUCCAUGCAUCUGCUAUACAUACUUAAAGUCUCAGUGAAAUUAUGCACCAGCAACAUCUAGCAACCAACUAUCAACCAUGUCAGCAAAACAAUGAUUAAGCCACAGUUCUUGCUUUAUAUUGGCUGGAGGUUACUAAACAUUGAGGAAGCAAAAUUCUUGGGUGGAAAACAGUGGACAAAGAAUUUAAGAUUUCUUAACCAUAGGCCUGCUUGAGCAGUUAGCAUGAUGACCACUAAUGAGUAAUAACCUAAUGAUCACAAGAACAAACCUGAUGGCCAGAAAAAGUUUUAAUAGGACGGUUUUCUCCAAUUUUGCAAACAUAUAUCAUAUUGUCUGUGGAGCUGGUUGCAAAAGAAACAUUAUUUCGCCAGUCGACAUCAAGUGUUGGACCUGAAGAUAAUGCAACUCCCUUUUGGUAAGAAUGAAAAAGGAUAUUGGUGAGAAGAAUAAAAGAGGAUAACUCCUGGAAAAGGCAGCAAUCUGAAGAGAAAAGGCACCAAAUCCUACUCAUCAGCAAACUUUUAUCACCUGCAUGAAAUUCAAAUUGUUGCUUCCAUUCCUCUGUCUUCACGUCCCACACAAUGGCAGUUUUAUCACAGCUUCCAGUUAGAAGAUAAUCACCCUUUCUAUUCCACUUUAGAGAAAAUAUAGGUCCUUUGUGUUUGCUCAAAGUGCUCCUUAGUUCACCUAAACAAAAAUAAUACCCAUAACAUGAGGUAUAAAGUUUUCAAACUGCAGUAAAACUAAAUAAAGGAAUGAUCUUAGUAAACUAGGAAAAAAAUUGUCCCAAAUAGAACAAUAACUAGAAGGGAAUAUCAAAUAUCAUUACAGAGAAGAAACCAAACAAACAGAAGGAAAAAAAAACACACGCACACACACACACUCAUGCACGCACAAACCUGCACAAGAUGGUAGGACUGAAAUUGAAAGCUAAAUGAUAAGAGAAAUGAAUUCCCACUGUUGUCAUUGUCUAAAAAUCCUAAACAUUAAAUUCCUGAAUAGAAUUCUACCAUUCUUUUUAAUGGGCCCUUCUGUGAUGCAUAUAGAUUCAUUGCUCAAAUGCCACCAUACGAAACCCACACCCUCUACACAUUCUUUAACAGUGUUGAAAAAGGAAAUGUAAGUCAAACAUUAUGAAAAUGUGGAAUGACACAUGUUAAGGAUAGAAAAUAGUUUUGGCUAAGUUCCUCUAACAUCAAUUAACAAUUCAAAAAUUAUUCCUAUGAUAAAUGUUGGGAUAAGUUUGGUCGUCCUACAUGGGCUAAUCAGGUUGCCUUCUCUUCUAAUGAUAGAGUUGAUGUUCCUACUCAUGUUCAACCUACAGGUAGUAGUAGUAGGGAGUAUCACGUUAUCUUUAGAUAAUUAUAACAAACCGGUGCAACAGUCCUCAUAGAUUUCCUUGAGAUCCAACAUCAAUGCUCCUACCACAACCUUAACAGAUUUGGAUGCACAUGCUCUUCGCCUACAGGUAGUAGUAGUAGGGAGUAUCAUGUUAUCUUUAGAUAAUUAUAACAAACCGGUGCAACAGUCCUCAUAGAUUUCCUUGAGAUCCAACAUCAAUGCUCCUACCACAACCUUAACAGAUUUGGAUGCACAUGCUCUUCUUACUCCUAGUCAGUCUUCUUCCCCUUGGGUAGAGAUUUUGACGCUUCUAGUCAUAUGACUGGACAGUCCUCCCCCUUUUCUCACUUAACCAAGUCUUCUAACACAUCGUUAGUCCCCUCAAGUGAAAUGGCUUUAUUAUCUCAAUAGUCAGUUUAUAUUCCAGUCUCAUUAUUAAAAAAUGUCAUUCUGUUGCUCUUUCUUCAUUUGUUACUCCUCUUCAGUGGCAUUAUAGAUUGGGUCCUGCUUCAUUUGAGGGGUUACAUUCAUUAGGAUUGUCUCCAAAUUUGUCCAAUAAGCCUGAGUGUGAGUUGUGUUAACUUGACAAACACCAUAGGUUAUCUUUCCUCCUAGAGUCUUUAGAUGUGUUUGCUUUGUUCAUAAUUUUUCUCCAAAUAAAGACAAGUUUGAUCCUCGCUCUUCAAAUGUGUUUUUUUUUGUUUUUGGAUACUCUAGAACCCAAACACAAUACAAAUGUUUUGAUCACAUGUCUCGUAAAUACUUUAUUAAUGCCAAUGCAAUAUUCUUUAAGACUAAUUUUUCUGAUCACGAUUUACAAUUAGAAAAUGACUUAUUUCAGUUUCAGUUUAUUCCUCUUCCUGUUGUUAUUGAUACUUCUCUAAGACUAACAAACCAUUACAAGUGCAUCAAUGGAAAAGACUGGCUAGAGAUGGUAAAACAAAUCAACCUCAGUCUCUACCUCCUCCGGGCUUGUCAGUAGAUAAUCCUAUACGACCAUCUAUUUUCAUUACCUCAAUUCCUAAUGAGUCAAACCUCCUUGUUACACUCAGGAAAGGUAGGGGUAGCAAUUCUAACAUGACACAAUAACACAAUUUGAAAACAAUACAAAUUUUAGCAGGUUCAAAUUAAGUAUAAUCAUGUUCAUAUCAUAAUCGUAACAACCUGUAUACCCUAUUUAAUAAACAGGUCGUGUUCGGAUUGCCUACUCAACCCAUUUAAUCUGCUUUCUAAAUCAUGUCAAACUAACCCAUUUAUUUGAUUGUGUCAAAAUGACCUAUUUACUUAAUUAUGUCAAAAUAACCUGUUAACAUAAACGUUUCAAAUGACUUUUUUAUGAUCCGAGCCAUUUAUGACUUAUUUAACCUAAUCAUGUUAAAAUGACCCAUUUGUACAUAUUUCAUUAAAGAUUAAAAAUAUUUUAUAAUUAAAACAUUGAAUAAGUGUAAAAUUAAGCUUUUAAUUUAUUUUUAUUAUAAAUAUAUUAUAAUUACUCCAAUGAAAGAGAUUCGUUGUGGAGGAAGAUCAAAAUGGGACAGUUUAGAGAGGAGGAAGGGGGUUGGAGUUUACGUGUGGUGAGAGACUCUUAUGAGGUUGGGUUACGGAAAACUAUAAGUAAGCAGUGGGAUUUUUUUAACACAAAAGUCUCCUUUCCAAUGGGUAGUGGGAGCAAGAUGAAGUUUUGGAAAGAUAGUUGGUAUAAUGAAAAGCCUUUAUUUGUGUUAUUCUCGUCCUUGUUUGCCUUAUCGGACUCGAAAGAAAUGUGAAUAGAUGACUUUUGGAAGUAUAGUGUGGAAGAAUGAAAUAAGGAAAAUUGUGAUUCUGAAGAAAGAAUUAGGCAAUCCAUGAUCAAAGGGAUUUUGUUAUAAUUGAGUUAGGAAAGUCCCUAAUUUGGAUCCUAGGAUUUUUGUAUAUAUAUAUAUAUAUAUAUAUAUGUAUGUCCAAGUCUUUGUACAUAAAAAUCAAAAAGAAGAAUUUUCUACCUUUUAUUCUUCAAUCUCUCCUCUACAAUUAGGAACCUAAAUGAUUGGGAGUUGGUUGUCAUAAAGUGAUUCCUGUGUAAACUCCAAGUUUAGUCAAUGAAUAGGGAGAAGAAGGAGGGCAUAGUAGUGGAAAAGUGAUAGCAAAGGAAGGUUCUCUAUAAAAGAGCUCUAUUCUCUUUUAGAGUCAAAUUGUGUCAUCCCAUUUCCAUUAGAGAUUAUUUGGAACUCUUGGAUUCCAUUUAAGGUGAGUUUUUUUUACUUGAGAGGUCUGCUAGAAUAAGGAAUUGACUUUAGAUUAGCUCCAAAGAAGAGGGUGAAUGUUGGUCAGUAGAUGUGUCUUAUGCAAAGAAGAGUCGAAAUCCAUUGAUCACAUUCUCCUUCAUUGUAAUAAGGUGAGGUUAUCAUGACAGUCAGUGUUAUCUAUUUUCGAUGUUUAGUGGGUUAUGUCUACAUCAAUUAAGGAGGCUCCACUAGUGUGGCAUGGCUCUUUUGUAGGUAGAAGGCGCAUGAAGGCUUAGAGAGCUGCUCCUUUAUGUAUUUUUUGAACCAUCUAGAAGGAAAGAAACUUAAAAUGUUUUGAAAGUGAGAAAAUGUCAGAGCAAAGAUCCUUGUUUGAAAGUAAACAAACAAUUUCCUUAACAAUCUAUCUUUGUGGGUUAAGGUGUCUAUAGGUGGAGGCUCUAUGCCUUUGGUUGAUUUUAUAGAUUGGUUGGGUCUUUGUUGAGGAAGGGAGUAUUUUUUAUUUCCCCUCGUUUUUGUUUAGCCUUUUGGUGCUCAUUGUACACGACCCGUAUACUCUUGUGCGCUAGUUGCUCUAUUUAAUACAUUCUCUUAUUUAUAAAAAAAAAUGUUCAAAUGAUAUAAUUAAAUUAAUAAAUAUUUUAAAAAAAAAUUAAAAAUUGCAACUAAAAAGCAUUAAAAUAAUAUAUUUGUAAAUUUUAAAUAGUUUAAAUGAGUUAGAAUCAUGUUAACAGGCUAGAAUCAUGUCAAUGGGUUAGAAUCAUUAGGUUAGAACAGUCCUAACGAGUUAUCCAUGUCAAUUCAUACACAAUUCAACUUAACCUAUUUAUUAAACAAGGUUAAACAAGUUAUGCCGUGUUACCAGUGUAAUAAAUAGGUCAUGUUUCUAUCAGGUCAUCCUAACACAAUUAUUAAAAGGGUUGUAUUCAAGUUAGUAAAUUUUCACUAUUUCUAACCUCAACUUAACACAACUUGACCUAUUGCCACCUAUAAGGAAAGGCAAAGGAAAUUGUACUCACUAACAUCUUAUUCAUUAUAUGUCUUUAGAUAACCUUUCCCCUAUUUUUAGGUGUUUUGCUCGUGUCUUGUCUUCUAUUUCUAUCCGUAAGUCUUAUCAAGAAGCUUUAAAUCAUAUUGUGUGGAAGAAGGUCGUGGAAGAAGGUCAUGGAAGAAUAAAUGCAUGCUCCUCUAGGCAGAGGUACAUGGGAACUCAUUAAUUUACCCAAGGAAAGCAUGUUGUAGGUUGUUGUUGGGUUUUUACUAUUAAGUAUCAUCUAGAUGGAAUUAUAGAAUUGUUGGCUCGUUUACUCAAACUGAUGGCGUGGACUAGUUUGAGACUUUCUCCCCUAUUGCUUGUCUUAAUUCAAUACACAUCCAUAUUUCCUUAGCUUUAAAUUUUGGGUGGAGUCUACAUCAAUUAGAUGAGAAAAAUGCAUUCUUGUAUAGUGAUUUGAGUGAGAAAGUCUAUAUGGAGCAACUACGUGGGUUUGUUACUCAAGGGAAGGCUAUUUAUGGAUCAAAACAAUCACCUCGAGCUUGGUUUGAUAAAUCGAGUGCUAUUCUUCUAUCAUUUGGUUUUAGAAGAUGUAACUCUGACCACUCUGUACUACUCAUUCUAUGUGUGGAUGAUAUUAUUCAUUUUGAUAGUGACGGUAAAGUAUUGAAGAAGUGAACGAUUACUUGAAAAAUACCUCUCAGACAAAGAAUCUCAGGUUGUAACAUUAUUUGCUCAACAUUGAAGUUACACAUGGUAGAAGUGAGAUUGUUUUGGCUCGAAGGAAGUAUGUAUUGAAUUUGCUUAAUGAAAUCGGCAUGUUAGGAGUAAAGCUAACACACACUCUUAUGGAGCAAAAUGUGAAUCUUAAUGUAGAUGAUAGUCUUGUGUUUUCACACAAAAGAAGAUAUCAAAAUCUAGUGGGUGGGCUCAUUUAUUUGAUAGUCAUCAGACCUAACAUUACAUUUCCUAGGGGUACAAUAAGUCAAUUCAUGAACACACCUAAGCAGAUUUAUUAGGAAACAACAUGUAGAAUCCUAAGGUAUCUCAAAGGUACUAAAGGUAUGAGAGUACUCAAUGGAAAGAGGUCUCACACUAGCCUUGAUCUUGUGAGUAUUUUUUGGAUGCAAACUGAGCAAGAUCCUCAAUUGACAGGGGGUCCAAUUCCACCCUUGUUUGUGAUAAUCUAGUUACUUGAAGGAGUAAAAAGCAACAUCUAGUCACUAGAUCUAGUGCUAAAAAAGAAUAUAAGGCUAGGGCAUAUACAAUGUGUGAAUUAAUGUGGAUUCAAAACUUUUCUCUUGAAAAAUGCAUGACUAUGUACUGUGAUAAUGAAACUGCUAUUCACAUUGCCUGCAACCCAAUGUUUCAUUAAAGAACCAAACAUAUUGAAAUGGACUGUGAUUUUAUCAGAGAAAUUGUAAUGAGCAAGAAAGUGAUAACCACUUACAUCAAGUUUGAAGAUUAGUUAGGCGAUGCGUUUGCUAAAGCUUUAAGGAGAAAUCCCUUUUUCUAUCAAGUAUUCCAAGUUGGGUCUAUAUAAUAUAUAUGCCCCAACUUGAGGUAAAGUGUUAAAGAGUUAUUAAUGGUUAUUUGGUAAGAGGUAGUUUAGUCAUUUUGUUUAUUUUGUAAAGUCCAUAUAUACGCUUUGUACUCUUUCCUUGGGCAACAAGACACUAUUUUCUUUCUCUCACUCAACAGAAAACAUUAAGCAAUUAUGCUACAGGCAGCUUACCAUUUGUACUCCAAAUUCUUGCUUGUCCAUCAUAGGACCCUGUUGCAAGCAAUGUCCCAUCCCCCUGCAUAAUAGCAAGCAAAAAAAUGAAAAUUGUCAACAAAAACUAGAAAAGCAUUAUAGCCUGGAAAACAAGUCAUCAUUAGGAUACCAUAGCAAAAAAAAUUCCGCACUUCCUAGAGAAACAGAAAAGAAAAAGAAAACUGUUCCAGGAAGUGCCUCAUAAAAUACCUUGCCCAAAUAAGAAAAUAUGCUAUCAAAGCAAAAGAUUAAAAAAUUUACGUUCUCAUCAGAAUCCUUUCAUCAGUGUCACUACACUGACCACUCUCAUGACCAACAUAUUGACAAACUACCCAACUGCAAAACCAACAUCCCAAACACAGCCACCAUAACCUACUGAAACGUCACCACUGUCAUUAUUCCUUCAAUAGCAGAAUUACUCCUACUCUACCUCCGCUGUACUACACAACCAUGCUUCAAUCACCAACAUCCACUGGGGUUCAACCUGCUCCAACACCUAAACCAACCAGACAAGGUUGAGAUGUUCUGAUGGAAUUGAAUUUUUUUUUUUUUUUUUUUUUAUGAGUAAAAAGCCUAACCAAACCCAUUGCUAUGGUUCCAUGAGUUUCUGGUUAAAAUUAACCAACCUCUGAACCGUACAGGCAGCACUCAUGUUUUUAUGGAAGAGGGAUGGUUCACCUCAUCUAGUAGAUGUGGCGCCCCUGUUAAGGUCAACUGGGGGAAAAGAAGUGACCCCCUCCAACUUCAAUUAUAUUCAGGAUCCUUUCCCCCAGCCAUCUCCUUCACAGGAUUAUCUUAACCUUCAAUUGGUGCCCUUCUUAUUCAAAUUUUAGGGAUUUGGUUGAAGAUUAUCGUGCUCCAAAAGGUUGUCAAUUUAUGCCCUUUUUAUUCAACACUUCCCCCUUACAUAACCUAGGCCUGGCCUGGCCUGGCCCGGCCUUGCCUCAAAACUUCUAAAUCACCGCAAGAUUUAAAAACACAAAUCAAGCUGCACAAGUAGCUGCAUUGAUUAAUCAUUUUUCUUUCUCAUUGUGGUUUAUGACAACAUGUUUUGUACUUCAUCAGGAAAAGAAGGGCAAAUGAGCUGUCAAAAGCACUUUUGGAAUUAUAACUAGAAACUGGGUAUAAACCUUUAAAUCAAAUGUAGUAAAAUAAAGUAAAACAGAAGCUUAAGCUUCAUCUUGCAGCCAUCAUUGUCACAAUAAUCUACUAAUUUUUAUAUAAUAUUGCAAAAUGCUCUUAAUUUUUAAAUGAUAUUGCAAAAUGCUCUCCUCCAAUGCAAACAAAUUGGCUAAUCGUUUGUGAUAUGUUAGAAGCUUGAAUAAUGCCUUUUCUAUCCUGUGACUUCACCACUGAUGACAAUUUGACUGAGACAAGUUUCACAAUAUGAAGAAUAGCUUUAGAAUUGACAUAAGAAUAAUCUACACUAUCAUUUUACAGACUUAAGCAACUAAUGUUUCUGUAAAAGCUUGUAUGAAAAAGAUAAAAAAUAGAAGAUUGCAAUUUCCUGUGCCUACCAAGUAGUUUGACAAUAUAGCAAAAGCAGGAAAUCAAGAUUCACUAUUCUCAAAGGACUUGCUAGAAUAGAAUAGGGCACCAAAACUCACAUUCCAAUCAAGCGUGGUGACAUCUUUGCUUUUCUCAUUUGUUCUACCUUUAACAUGCUUCAGCACCAGUACAUUUGAAGGACCAUUUUGCACACUAGAUCUACAGGUCCCAUCAGCAAUUGUCCAAAUUCGAGCUGUUGAAUCUCCCGACCUAGUUAUUCAGGCAAUGAGAGAACAUCAAGGCAUAAAAUGAGAAGAGAUAAUUCACAGUGCUGGCAGUAUGGUUGCUUUAUCAUCACACAAAGAAUGCACUAAGAUUUGGGAAUUAUGCAAAUCAUAACUGCAUGCAUUACUUCACACUUCAUUGUGGCCAUUAAAUGACAGUUUAAAGUGAGCCUAAUCUAUAUUACCUAAAUAUAACGACUCAGAAAAGGAAAUACAAACAUUACAGCUAAUGCCAUCGAGUGAUACAGAAACUUACAAAUUUUAUUUAGAAACAGUGAUAAUUAAGUCUUGGUUUUAAAUUUUUGGUUUUCUGAGUAGGUUUUGUAUUUAAACUAAUGGGCUGCAAGUGCUCCAGUGGUCUAAAACACUUUUUUUUUUAUAGAUUCCAGCGAUCUAACAUAGUUGACCAAGAGAUUAAAACCAAGCAUAAAAUAAUGUUCUUUGCCUAUAAAUAAUAAAAUAAUAUUUGUAGAUGCAAGAGAGUGAAGUUUUGAAAUGAUAUUUGGCAUAGUGAAUCAUCCUUGAGCAUCCUUUUCCCCACUUUGUUUUUCAUAGCUACUUCCAAGGGUGGUUCUUGGAUCAUGGCUGUGAGGAAAGAAUCAGGCAGGGGAGGGCAUUGGAGACCUUGUUACUUAAGAUAGUUCCAUGACUGGGAGUUGGAAAGUCUUGAGAUGUUUCUUAUGAGGCUUCAAGAGAGAUCAAAGAUGAUGAAUGGUGAGGAUAGGUUGAUUCAAAAGGAUCCCAAGGAUGUUAAAAGCUUUCUAUUCUUAUUUGGAACCUGAUAUGUGAAACUAGUUUGGAUCUCAUGGGUCUGAACUAAAGCAAGGUUCUUUGCAUAGGAAGUGGAUUGGUAGAGGCUUUUAACUUUGGAUCAGUAAAAAGGGAAAGGAUGUACCUUGCUAAAUCAAUCCUAUCUUUACAAUGGCCAAGAAGAAUCAGCUCAUUUACAUCCUCCUAUAUUGCACUAAAACAAGGAUCUUGUGGCUUUUUCUGUUCUAUUCAUUUGGAGAGAUUGUAUUAAUUUGGCAUGGGAAUUUUGUGGAAAAGAAGCAUAGGAAGGCAUAGAGGGCUGCUGUUUGUGCUAAUUUUGGACCAUUUAGAAGGACAGGAAUCACAGACCAUUUGAAAAUGUGGAACAAUCAAAUUAAGCUCUCAAAAUCCCAUUCCUUUCUUUUGGGCAAGAAAGUUCUUACAUGAGGCUUCAAUUUGUUGGCUUCUAGUUAAAGGGAGGGAAGUUUUUUUCUCUCUUCCUCCUUUUUCUCUGCCAUUGCCACCUUUCAUACGCUAUUUCUGUGCUUUCAUGUGCCCUUUUUUGUUAGGAGUUGCUAAUAAUAUUUUUUUGUUUGCUUGUCAAAAAAAUAAUGGUUGUAGUGGCAAACUAUUUAAGGUUCUGCAGCAUCAGAGGCUCCAUUUAAGGUUCUGAGCAAAGAUCAUGCAUAAUAAACAUUGUAGAUGAUAAGAAAUCUUUAUUUAAGAAAACGCACUUCCAUAUAUGUGAAUCUAAAAGAUAAAAGAAGUAACCUUUGAAACUACCAACAAUUAACACCCAUACACACAAAAUAAAAACCAGUCCUAUCAAACAUACCCCGAUGCAAGAAGUGAACCAGCCGGACUCCAUGCACAAGCACAAACCUACAAGAAAAAAAAAUGAAUAUGCUAAGAAAACGGAGGGUAAAAAAAGGAAAAGCAAAAGACAAUGUCACAAACCUCAGAAGUAUGCCCUUCCAGAAUUGUCACAUCAGAACUUGGAAUUUCACAGGCCUGAAAUGUUGAACUUGUGGAGAUAUCCAUUGGUUCUGGUCCUACAAAACACAUACAAAGAACUAUCACAAUUUAUAUUUAUACGAUAUAUCGGGAUUGUAGCUUUCAUGAGCCAUCAACACAAUUAGUAACGCUCUUCUUCUCAUGAAUAAAAUUGUACUAAAAACUUGUUAAAGCCAAAGGUACUUGGGAAGUAUAAAUCAAAAGAUUCCUACACCCAACCAAGAAAGCACAAACCACUACCUCGCCAACCAGAAAGAAAAGGAUGGUCCACAGAUUUAGAAUCCCCAUUACAUUUGUAACAUAUUAGGGAUCACACAUUUCAUGCUGGUCAAGUGAUCCUCAGUUAAGCACUCAUCUCUUACAGUAGUCUGAGGGGAAAAAGGGGCCACUACAGGAGCAAAACAACCAAAACGUUGUAGGAAUCUCAACAAAGAGUAAACAGAAUCGAAGGAAGAUAUUAAACAAGAAGUUGUUUUUGUUUUUAUGAGAAAUAGAAGAUUUUUUGAGAAUGUGGAACUUUCAAUCCAAAGGCUGAAAUACUUGUUUUUGUGUAACUUGUUUUUUUUUUUUUGAUAAGUAAACGAUUAUAUUAACGAAGGCAAAAAGCCGAAGAGCAUACAGGGAGUAUACAAGGCUACAAACCCUAAACCAAAAAACAAAAGAACCCAACCCCUACUUGGAAGCUAUCCAUUCCAAGAAACCUAUAAGGGAAUUCGACUCCAUAUCAAUGUACACUUAAGCCCAACCCCAAAAAUUAUACACAAACGAAGUCUUUAAUUUCUGAAAGGCUAACACACCCCCUUUAAAGGCAAGCCUAUUCCUCUCCUUCCAAAUUGUCCAAAAAAUGAAAAGCGGGAUGGACUUCCACACUUUCUUCCUUUUUCUCCCCACAAAAGAGCCUUUCCAACUACUAAGAACCUCCUUUACAGAAUUAGGAAAGACCCACUGUACACCACACAACGCAAGAAUAAUAUCUCAUAAACCUUUUGCCACCGUACAAUGAAUUAACAUAUGAUUGAUAGUUUCCUCUUCACAUCCACACAAGAAGCACCGAUUAGGGAAGUGCCAUCCUCUUCUCUGCAACCUAUCCAAUGUAAGGACCUUCCCCCAAGUAGCUUCCCAAGCAAAGAAAAUAAUUUUUGUUGGAACUUUGGCCACCCAAACAUUGCUAUGAGGGAAAACCGCUUCAUCAGCAUUAAUCAACACCCUAUACGCUUCCUUAACUUUAAACAGCCCGUCCGCUCCUCCCCUCCAAAAAAACGAAUCUUCCUCCAUAGAUACUCUAUAAUUCCUCAACUCAACUAACAUAUUGUCCACCAACCCCAAUUCCCAAUCAUUGAAGUCUCUCAACAGUCUUAAACUCCACCCUCCUUGACUCAGAUUCUGAUCCCAAUAAUCCUCCACAGUGGCGUUCCUUUGGGCAGCCAUGGAGAAGAGGUCCGGGAAAGCUUCGGACAGCAUGUUGUUUCCACACCAAGGAUCAAUCCAAAACCUUACUUUAUUGCCUUUUCCCACCUUGAAUACCAUGUUAUCCCAACACCAAGUGGACUCCUUCAGAAUAUCCUUCCACACACCAACCCCAAACACCCCAUUUGCCUUCCUUGUUCUCCACCCAAACUCCUCUUGCCCAUACUUAGCCUCAAGCACUUUUUUCCACAGCUCCUCCUUAGCCCGCGCAAACCUCCAAAUCCAUUUGCCUAGAAGAGCUUUGUUUAACCAAAUCAACUUUCUUAACCCCAACCCUCCCUUCUUUUUAUCCAUACACACAACCUCCCACUUGAUUAGAUGAGCCUUAUUCCCCCCAUUGGCUCCUCCCCACAAAAAAUUCCUUUGAAGCUUUUCCAGUCUUCUUGCCACUGAUUUAGGCAUGCGGAAUAAUGACAUUUGAUACAAAGGAAUGCUGGCCAGCGUGCUCUUAAUGAGAGUAAUUCUCCCUCCUUUGGACAGAAAUUGACGCUUCCAAAGAGCAAGCUUCCUCCUCAUUUUCCCCUCCACCCCAUCCCAAACGGAGGAGGCCCUAUUAGGCACCCCAAGGGGCAGCCCCAAAUAAACAGUGGGCAACUGUCCCACCUUACACCCAAUUUCAGCAGCCAUAUCAAGCGCCCCUUCCACCUCCCCUACCGGAAUGACCAUGCUUUUCUCCAAAUUUAUUUUUAAACCUGAGGCGGCCUCGAACCAUAAGAGGAUCCAGCUCAAGUACAACAGGGACUCUUUUUUUGCCUCACAAAAGACAAUUGUAUCAUCCGCAAACAGGAGAUGAGUUAUGUUGACGGGCUGCCCUCUUCCUUUCCAUAUCCUACAGCCAUAGAUGAACCCCCCUUCAACGGCCCUCGAUAUUAACGCACUAAGGACUUCCAUUCCCAUGAUAAAUAAGUAGGGGGAUAGGGGAUCCCCUUGCCUAAGCCCUUUAGAACUUGAAAAGAAACCAGCUGGAACCCCAUUCACCAGCAUUGAGUAUUUGAUAGUAGAAAUACAGCUCCACAUCCAUCUUAUCCAUUUUGAUCCGAAGCCCAUCUUAUGCAUAACCUUUAAUAAAAACUGCCAAUUGAUACUAUCAAACGCCUUCUCAAUGUCCAACUUACAAAUUAGGCCUUUCUCUCCCCUUUUUUGCCAAGAGUCUAUUACCUCAUUUGCGAUUAGGGAACCGUCAAGAAUCUGUCUCCCUUUGAUGAAGGCGUUCUGAUCAGGAGAAAUCACCUUAUCUAUGAUUUUUUUGAGCCUAUUGGCCAGCACCUUAGCCAAUAAUUUAUAAAGACCCCCAAGCAAACUGAUUGGCCUGUAGUCCCCCAAAUCCUCUGCCCCCCCUUUCUUCGGAAUCAAGAACAGAAAUGUAUGGUUUAGGCUCUUGGUGAAAGAAUUCUGAUCAUAAAACUCUUUGAACAUAUCCAAGACAUCCUCCUUGACAAUCUCCCAACAAUUUUGCCAAAAUGCUACAGUGAAACCAUCCGGAACCGGGGCUUUGUCCCCAUUCAUCCCCAUUAAUGCAGCAUAGAUCUCAGCCUCAGAGAAAGGGAACUCAAGAGCUUCCGCUUCUGAGAGGCUGAUCUGCUUCAGCACAAGGCCCCCUAUAUCCGCCUUCCAAUCCGAGCUUUCCGAAAGAAGUUGCUGAUAAGCAUUUACUAUUCCAUCCCUCACUUCUUGAUCCUCUGUAAGCCUCACCCCAUUAAUCUUAAUUUUGAUCAGAUUAUUGACUCUCCUGUGGGCAUUAGCCAUACGGUGAAAGAAUCCCGUGUUCCUAUCCCCUUCCCUAAGCCAUAGUUCCCUUGAUAGCUGUCUCCAGUGCACUUCUUCCAUCGACACCCAUUUUGAAUAAUUCUCCUUAGCUGUUUUUUUGUGACCUAACUCCUCCUCUGAUAAAAUCCUCUCUUCUUCCACUACAUCCCAUCGCUCCACUUGUUGAAGGGCUUCAGCUUUGUUUUUCUCCAACCUUCCAAAAACCUCCUUAUUCCAGAUCUUUAAAUUGUGUUUCAGGCCCCUCAUCUUAGCUGCUAACCUGUAGCUCGGCCUUUCUCUAACCACUAUCCCUUGCCACCACCCCUCUAUCAGCUCUUUGAAUCCCUCAGCUUUGAGCCACAUGUUUUCAAAUUUGAAGGGGUAAGGACCUCUCCUUAGGCCACCUCCCUCAAGCAAAAUCGGAAAAUGAUCCGAGGUUGGGCGAGGCAAUCUUCUUUGACUUGGACCAAACUGUUUAUAGGUGAAAGAUUGAUGUCCAUAAUAGAUUUCAUUGAUAGGUUGAGGUCAGUUUGAGGGAGGGAGCAGCUUUUUGUUUUCUCUUCCUUUUUUUAGCGCUUUUUAAUAUAAAUCUCAUUUACUAAUCAAUAUAUAUAUAUAUAUAUAUAUAUAUAUAUAUAUAUAUAAACAAGAAGUUGCCUAGUCCCUUUCUCCAUGACAUCCCAUCCUCCAAGAACCCUCUAGCAAAAUUUACCGCAUAGAGCUUCUAAAAGAAUUCAUAACCAACCUAAGUACACUUCCAUUCAAAAAGAACCUCACACCAAAAAUCUAACCCAAAAACAUCACCCUUACAGUUCCUUGACCUUAUGAGCUAAGCCCUUUACCAAAUGCAACCAAUCCUUUCAGAUUACAAAGGUCAAUCCCUCAACUUCUUUUUUCUUUUUUCCUUUUUAUUAAUUAUUAAUAGGUAACUUCCUUUUUUUUUUCUUUUUCUUUUUCUUUUUUUGGAUAUAUGAAAUCUAACCCCUUCACUAAAGUCAGGCCUCAAGGACAACCUUCCCUAACUUCAUUUUAGCACCAUUCAUACUUCACACCAAAAUACUCCUCAACUGCCACUCCCUUUUGUAAAUGACCAAAUUCACUCAUGGUCUUAGGAGAACAAAUAAUACCAACGUCCCCAACUGCCUAGGCAAUAAAAUGGAACCUCCAUGCCAAAUAACUAAAAAUUACAAAGGCAUCAAUCCAUCUUUUCUGGAGGCCAAGAUCAUUCCACAACCCCAG